rnacentral:lncRNA from 1 species
AAGCACCUGAAUAUCCAUCAAAUGAUGAAUAGAUAAAUGAAAUGUGGUGUAUCUAUAAAAUAAAAUGUUAUUCAACCACAAAAAGAAGUGAAGUACCGAUACAUGUUACAUAAGGGAUGAACCUUAAAAACAUGAUAAAUGGAAGAGCCACCUGCCUCAGCGUGCUCCUUCAUCACUCUGCUGGGCUCAGUCUCUGACUCGAAUUUUUUUCCUGAAUCAACCUUUCAAGAGAUGCAUCCAGUGUCUGAAGGAAUUAUGAAGAGGCAGUUGCCAAAAAGCCGAAAUUUGAGAAGAAGAUCUGGAGGUACAAGUUUCAUGCCAUAAAUACACUUAACUCCACUUAACUCUCC